rnacentral:misc_RNA from 1 species
UUUAGUGAGGGGGGUGAAGUCGUAACAAGGUAGCCGUACUGGAAAGUGUGGCUGGAUCACCUCCUUUCUAAGAGAAAGGUAUUAUUUAAAGGUAAAUUAUGUUUUAACUCUUCCUUUGUCUUUUCAAAGACUUUUUUUGGGGGUUUAGCUCAGUUGGCUAGAGCAUCGGCUUUGCAAGCCGGGGGUCGAGGGUUCGAGUCCCUCAACCUCCAUUUAUUUUAGAUCGAAUAAAUGGAGGUUGUAAUUAGAAGUAAUGCUUUGUUAGUUGUAGCUAAAUUUAAAAUUGUUAAAAAGCCAUUCUAAUUUUAUUAUCUAGACAAGUUAUUUUUUAUUACGUUUUUUAUUAAGUAAAGUUGUUUACGUGUGACAAGUCAUGAGAAGUGAUCUUGAUUUUAUUUUUUCAUUUUUUGUUUGUAUUCGUUAUAAUAAAUUUUGAUUUUAAAGAUAUGGGUUUAGGAUUUGUAAAUCACUAAGUGUAAGACAUUUCUUUAAAUAUUUGGAUGUUUUUUUAAACGAGUCUUAGUAAAUUGGGACCAGGAGGAGUGAACCUCCGACCUCAG